CCUACGGGAGGCUGCAGUGAGGAAUAUUGGUCAAUGGGCGCGAGCCUGAACCAGCCAAGUAGCGUGAAGGAUGACUGCCCUACGGGUUGUAAACUUCUUUUAUACAGGAAUAAAGUUAUGCACGUGUGCCUUUUUGUAUGUACUGUAUGAAUAAGGAUCGGCUAACUCCGUGCCAGCAGCCGCGGUAAUACGGAGGGUCCGAGCGUUAUCCGGAUUUAUUGGGUUUAAAGGGAGCGUAGACGGGUUGUUAAGUCAGCUGUGAAAGUUUGCGGCUCAACCUUAAAAUUGCGAUUGAUACUGGAAGCCUUGAGUACAGUUAAGGCAGGCGGAAUUCGUGGUGUAGCGGUGAAAUGCUUAGAUAUCACGAAGAACUCCGAUUGCGAAGGCAGCCUACUAAACUGUUACUGACAUUGAUGCUCGAAAGUGUGGGUAUCAAACAGGAUUAGAUACCCGAGUAGUC
rnacentral:rRNA from 1 species